UACGUAGGGGGCAAGCGUUGUCCGGAAUUAUUGGGCGUAAAGCGCACGCAGGCGGUCUAUUAAGUUUGGUGUGACAGUGAUCAGCUUAACUGGUCAAGGUUAUUGAAUACUGGUAGACUUGAGAGCGAGAGAGGGACAUGGAACUCCGGGAGGAGCAGUGAAAUGCGUAGAGAUCCGGAAGAACACCAAAGGCGAAGGCAGUGUCCUGGCUCGUUUCUGACGCUCAGGUGCGAAAGCGAGGGGAGCGAACGGG
rnacentral:rRNA from 1 species